UGGCCCGCGGCGCUGCGUCGAUGAAAGUGGAUAUUUAAGGCAGCGCAGAAAGCAGUUCGCAUUCACUCUCCGCGGCGCGCGGCCAGAGAGGCGGGCGCUCUACAACUCACUGACAAAUAAUGUCUUGCGAACGAACGAGGCUUCAUAUAACAUGACCGGAAGGAGAACGAGGUACGGACUCGGUGAGUCCUCGUUGAACGCGGAGGUUUUUUGAGGAGGACGGUGGAUGACCGCGAGCUCUCACUUCAGAAGAGCGCGUGUCACUCAACUCCAUCUGCAGCAAGGCAGCAGAAGCGGGAGAGCUGAAGGUGACCUGUGGCUGGGCCGGGGGCUGCAACACAGGACAUGGGAGCUGCCUCUCACUCCCGCUCGUGUCUUGUGUUGCAGCCAGUGGAACUGCUGCACUGUCCACAUCAGAGAUGGGAGGAAGCAUCGCGCUCGGGGAACAUUACACUCUCUUACAGCGGCUGCCUCUCAAAUCAUUGCUCUUCUCAUCUACUUCUCAAAGGAAAACACAGCUAUUCUGAGUAUAUUUCUGAAUAAAAGACAUUAUAGCUUUUAAAAUAAAUGCAAAGGGAAAGCAGCUAGUACUUCUUUGUAAUAGGGUAAGUGAUGUACCACUCAUUUUUUUAUUACAAAUGUUUCUUGAACAGCAAAUAAGCAUAUUAAAAUGAUUUCUGAAGGAUGAUGUGACACUGAAGUAAUGAUGCUGAAAACUUUUGCAUCACAGGAAUUAUAAUUACAAAUAUCCAAUGUAACGCUUUAAACACACAAGAUUUUUUUGUAUACUAUGUAUAUGUAUAUCUUUGUAUUUUAUUCCUGUGAUGUAAAGCUGUGUCUUCAGCAGUCUUCAAAAAUCAUGUCAAAUAUUGUUUGUAGAACAAAAAACAUUUGUAGAACAUUUUAACUUUUCAAUGAACUGUUCAAUUAUUAAAUUCCUUGUUCCUAGCAGUUCUAUCCCCUUUAGUGUGUGCAAACAUUUCAGAGUGACGGCGUGAAACCAUGUCAACACUGAUGCUCCUGUGUUUAGUUUAGAAAAGUGUCAAAUGCACACUCUGGCUGUCUGGUGCUUUAUUAAUGGUCUUUUAUCUCCCUCAAGGUUAUGCAUGAGUAACACACAUGAAGAAGUUUGGCUUUACCUCACACACUUACAUAUAGAUAUAAAAACACACACAGAUAAAGAAAAAGCAGCCUCAGAUGUGUAAAUAUUCAGAUCAUGUUGCUGCUCUGCCAACUAAGACCUGUCAGAGCUGAAGAAAGGCAAGCUGCGCUGCCCAUUUAAACGUGUGAAAUGAAGUAGUUUUCUGUCAGGGAUGUCACUUGAUUGGAAUUUAAAUCCAACAGUAGCUCAAAGAGAAUUGUUUGUGUCAAACGCAUUGUGAUGGGCUGAAUUCUGAAUGCAGCAUGACAAGACAAACUGCUUUUAUCUGGAAUAGGACAAAACUGCAUUCAGCAAACAGUGCUCUCAGUGGGCUACAACGUCUAACAUGAUAAGAGCAAAAACUGACAAAAAAAAUACAUUUUGUCUAGUGCUGUCAAGCGAUUAAUCAGAUCCAUGUAAGUACAUGUAUAUAGAUUUUUUAAAUAUAUACUGUAUGUGUGGGUAUUUAUAUAUGCAUAAUAAAUGUACACAGUACACACACAUG